rnacentral:rRNA from 1 species
UACGGGGGGGGGCAAGCGUUGUUCGGAAUUACUGGGCGUAAAGGGCUCGUAGGCGGCCAACUAAGUCGGAUGUGAAAUCCCCAGGCUUAACCUGGGAACUGCAUCCGAUACUGGAUGGCUUGAAUCCGGGAGAGGGAUGCGGAAUUCCAGGUGUAGCGGUGAAAUGCGUAGAUAUCUGGAGGAACACCGGUGGCGAAGGCGGCAUCCUGGACCGGCAUUGACGCUGAGGCGCGAAAGCUAGGGGAGCAAACAGG